GGGAUUGUUGCUCAAUGGUAGAGUGCUUGCCUGGCAUGCAUGAGGCUCUGGGUUCGGUCCCCAGCACCA
rnacentral:tRNA from 1 species